rnacentral:rRNA from 1 species
GACGAACGCUGGCGGCGUGCUUAACACAUGCAAGUCGAACGGAAAGGCCUCUUUCGGGGGGUACUCGCGUGGCGAACGGGUGAGUAACACGUGAGUAACCUGCCCUUGACUUUGGGAUAACUUCAGGAAACUGGGGCUAAUACCGGAUAGGAGCUCCUGCUGCACGGUGGGGGUUGGAAAGUUUCGGCGGUUGGGGAUGGACUCGCGGCUUAUCAGCUUGUUGGUGGGGUAGUGGCUUACCAAGGCUUUGACGGGUAGCCGGCCUGAGAGGGUGGCCGGCCACAUUGGGACUGGGGUACGGCCCAGACUCCUACGGGGAGCAGCAGUGGGGAAUAUUGCACAAUGGGUGGAAGCCUGAUGCAGCAACGCCGGGUGCGGGAUGACGGCCUUCGGGUUGGAAACCGCUUUCGCUCAUGGCGAAGCUUUGUGUGACGGUAGUGGGUAAAGAAGCACCGGCUAACUACGUG